CUGCCCACACACACACACAGCCCCCAUAUACACAUUGCCUCCCCAUACCCUACACAUUCACACACUACACCUCACACAAACAUUGAACCCCUCACACACACCACUGCUCCUAUGCCCUACUACAGUCCCAUAUCCCAGCAGACCCGAGGUAAGUUGUCAAACUGUUCUUAAACGGUUUGACUACUUACUCUGGGAGGGGGUCCCGGCACCCCUGGCACCAUAACCACUACACAGAACUGUAGUGGUUAUUGUGCAUGGGUUAUUUCUUUAA